CGCGAACCAUCGAGUCUUUGAACGCAAGUUGCGCCCGAGGCCACCCGGCCAAGGGCACGCCUGCCUGGGCGUCA
rnacentral:rRNA from 6 species